GUUAAAGCACAACUGGGAUCACUCAUUACUUAGCUCUUGGGCAGCUCAACAGUAUGUUGUGGAGAACCAGGCAGUCCACUAUAGUUUAAGCAAAGUUAGUAUCUUGUGAACUGUAGUUGAAAAGAGCUUGCAGAUCAUUAUUGCUUGCCAAUUUUGUGGCAAAUACUUUUUGUGCACCCAGUGUAGAUCUUUACUUUGUGUGGGAGGAAGCAAAAGGAUAUAAAGGACACCUUCCUGUACUGUGGUGGGAUUGAAAGCCUGUCUUCUUGGGAACACAAUCACUACCAUGAAUUCUUCCAGAAGAAUACAUUCUCUCCGUGCUCACAGGCCAAAAGCGCCUGCAAAUAUGAGUGAGAACUGGCACAGUUCCUGCAGAUGCAAACAGGACCGCGGAGAUGAAUUAUCUACUGUUCGUACACUUUACACUGUGAUCAUCAUGGUCAUCCUAAUGGCGAUAUGGGGGGCCUGGGCAAGAAAAGAUGCCUACUUAUAGUUGCAAGUUACCUUUUGUGUCAGGAGUUCAGAAUUCAGAGAUACUUGUGACAAUAAAAAAUACCCAGGAAGAUACAAAAGCCCAGGGCUUUGUGAAUCACAGCUCAUCUUGCAUAUAAAAUGGAACCACUUCUGUCAGUGGAUUUGGCUAAGUCAAAUUCUGUGGAUAAAAUCUAGAACACCAUUUCAGCAAUGAAAGUAACAUUUUUGUAACUUAACAUUUGCAGCAUAACAUAUAUAAUUCCUUUUAGAUAAAGGAAACUAUUUUAAAUUCAGUACAGUGGUAAAAAGGUUAGAUUCACAUUUUUGCUGGACAAUGUACAUAUAUUUUUACAUCCAUUUUCCACUUUUGUAUUCUAGAUGUUCAUUUGUUUGUGGCUUUAUAUUGCAGUGUACAUUGUGACAGGCUGGAGUAGCCUACUUCCUCCCCUGCUAGCGGGGAGUUAACUGAUUAGUGUAAUCUCGACAGGACCGAAGACCAAACGAACACUUGAUAAUAAAACAGGAGUAAUCUAUAAAAAGAAACCCAGCUGGUUGAUGAACAGAAUACAGUAGUUCGUGAUUGUAGCUUGAAGCCUGGAUUUAUGCCUAUGUGAAAAGCUUUUUCUUUUAUUAAAAUCCUAUGCAGGUUCAAGAAUAAAGCUUUGUCUAUUUGUGAAAGUGUUUUGUUGCU